AUUUAUUUUUAUUCAUUAAAUGUGUAUAAACUGCACUUUCAUAUAAAGUGUCACAUGGCAGCGCAGCUUUUUUUUCAGCCGGAACUCAGUUCCGGAACCUCUCAGGUGGGCACCAUUGCCAUUAUAAGAGAACAAGAACUCAACUGUCCUGCUUUUACUGAGAGAUCACAUCUUAAAGAAUCCGCCCCGGCUUCUGAUUGGAUCUGGGAGUGUCCCAGGAUCCAUGCGUUCUCUCUUGAGCAGCUAAGGAGGCCUGCCUAUGUGGUGCUGCUCUGCCCAGAAAAGGCCUGCCCAUGUAGCACUGUGGCACUCCGAGAAGGCCUGUCCUCACAGUGCUGGUCGAUGGAGGCAACAGCAAUGAAGAGAGAGUAAGAGGCAGCUUCAGUUCUGACUGUGGGCUUCACUGUUAUUCUCCUUUGGACUGUCCUUAACACAAUCAAUAAAAACAGGAAUGAAAACAAUUUCAAGAAGGCCUCCUCAACAUGGAACAGCCCAGCCAGAGAAGGAGAGCCUUAAGUAAUUGACUGACAAAGUGAGUGAAAUUCAGGUGCCCAGAAACAAGGUUUCCAUUUUGGAAGAAGUGGGACCACAGGAAAUGACUCUUCUGCCAUGAAAACAUCCAAGUCUUUUCCCUUUCAUGCCUUGGCCUGAAAAUGGUACCAAAUGAGGAGUGGCUAUUAAAUGGAUCUACAUGCUGGGGCAUGCUUUCUCGGAUGGCAAUUUCACCGCACCAUAUGUGUCUCUCACAAGAUAGCAGAGUGAAAUGAGUCUUGGCAGGAAGAGAACUAAA